UACGAAGGGUGCAAGCGUUACUCGGAAUUACUGGGCGUAAAGCGUGCGUAGGUGGUGAGUUAAGUCUGUCGUGAAAUCCCCGGGCUCAACCUGGGAACUGCAUUUGUGACUGCAUCGCUGGAGUGGCGGCAGAGGGGGAUGGAAUUCCGCGUGUAGCAGUGAAAUGCGUAGAUAUGCGGAGGAACACCGAUGGCGAAGGCAAUCCCCUGGGCCUGCACUGACGCUCAUGCACGAAAAGCGUGGGGAGCAAACAGG
rnacentral:rRNA from 1 species